rnacentral:rRNA from 1 species
UCGAGGAUCUUCGGCAAUGGGCGCAAGCCUGACCGAGCGACGCCGCGUGUGCGAAGAAGGCCUUCGGGUUGUAAAGCACUGUCGAGGGGGAGAAAGCCGCAAGGUUGAUCUAUCCCUGGAGGAAGCACGGGCUAAGUUCGUGCCAGCAGCCGCGGUAAGACGAACCGUGCGAACGUUGUUCGGAAUCACUGGGCUUAAAGGGCGCGUAGGCGGGUCAGCAAGUCCGGGGUGAAAUCUUUCGGCUCAACCGGAAAAGUGCCUUGGAUACUGCUGGUCUUGAGGGAGGUAGGGGUUUGUGGAACUUCUGGUGGAGCGGUGAAAUGCGUUGAUAUCAGAAGGAACGCCGGUGGCGAAAGCGACGAACUGGACCUCUUCUGACGCUGAGGCGCGAAAGCUAGGGGGAGCAAACGGGAUUAGAUACCCCGGUAGUCCUAGCCCUAAACGAUGGGGUACUAGAGAGUAGGACUUUCAUGGGUUUACUCUCGAAGCAAAAGUGAUAAGUACCCCG